CUACGUAGGUGGCAAGCGUUGUCCGGAAUUAUUGGGCGUAAAGCGCGCGCAGGUGGUUCCUUAAGUCUGAUGUGAAAGCCCCCGGCUCAACCGGGGAGGGUCAUUGGAAACUGGGGAACUUGAGUGCAGAAGAGGAUAGUGGAAUUCCAAGUGUAGCGGCGAAAUGCGUAGAGAUUUGGAGGAACACCAGUGGCGAAGGCGACUGUCUGGUCUGUAACUGACACUGAGGCGCGAAAGCGUGGGGAGCAAACAGGAUUAGAUACCCUGGUAGUCCACGCCGUAAACGAUGAGUGCUAAGUGUUGGGGGUUUCCGCCCCUCAGUGCUGCAGCUAACGCAUUAAGCACUCCGCCUGGGGAGUACGGUCGCAAGACUGAGACUCAAAUGAAUUGACGGGG
rnacentral:rRNA from 1 species